rnacentral:rRNA from 2 species
AACGAGCUUCCGUUGAAUGACGUGCUUGCACUGAUUUCAACAAUGAAGCGAGUGGCGAACUGGUGAGUAACACGUGGGGAAUCUGCCCAGAAGCAGGGGAUAACACUUGGAAACAGGUGCUAAUACCGUAUAACAACAAAAUCCGCAUGGAUUUUGUUUGAAAGGUGGCUUCGGCUAUCACUUCUGGAUGAUCCCGCGGCGUAUUAGUUAGUUGGUGAGGUAAAGGCCCACCAAGACGAUGAUACGUAGCCGACCUGAGAGGGUAAUCGGCCACAUUGGGACUGAGACACGGCCCAAACUCCUACGGGAGGCAGCAGUAGGGAAUCUUCCACAAUGGACGAAAGUCUGAUGGAGCAAUGCCGCGUGAGUGAAGAAGGGUUUCGGCUCGUAAAACUCUGUUGUUAAAGAAGAACACCUUUGAGAGUAACUGUUCAAGGGUUGACGGUAUUUAACCAGAAAGCCACGGCUAACUACGUGCCAGCAGCC